GACGAACGCUGGCGGCGUGCCUAAUACAUGCAAGUAGAACGCUGAAGAGAGGAGCUUGCUCUUCUUGGAUGAGUUGCGAACGGGUGAGUAACGCGUAGGUAACCUGCCUUGUAGCGGGGGAUAACUAUUGGAAACGAUAGCUAAUACCGCAUAACAAUGGAUGACACAUGUCAUUUAUUUGAAAGGGGCAAUUGCUCCACUACAAGAUGGACCUGCGUUGUAUUAGCUAGUAGGUGAGGUAAUGGCUCACCUAGGCGACGAUACAUAGCCGACCUGAGAGGGUGAUCGGCCACCCUGGGACUGAGACACGGCCCAGACGCCUACGGGAGGCAGCAGUAGGGAAGCUUCGGCAAUGGGGGCAACCCUGACCGAGCAACGCCGCGUGAGUGAAGAAGGAUUUCGGAUCGUAAAGCUCUGUUGUAAGUCAAGAACGGGUGUGAGAGUGGAAAGUUCACACUGUGACGGUAGCUUACCAGAAAGGGACGGCUAACUACGUG
rnacentral:rRNA from 1 species